UAAAGAAUUUCGGUUAUCGAUGGGGAUGCGUUCCAUUAGUUAGUUGGCGGGGUAACGGCCCACCAAGACGACGAUGGAUAGGGGUUCUGAGAGGAAGGUCCCCCACAUUGGAACUGAGACACGGUCCAAACUCCUACGGGAGGCAGCAGUGAGGAAUAUUGGUCAAUGGACGAGAGUCUGAACCAGCCAAGUAGCGUGAAGGAUGACUGCCCUAUGGGUUGUAAACUUCUUUUAUAUGGGAAUAAAACAGGGUAUGCAUACCCUCUUGUAUGUACCAUAUGAAUAAGGAUCGGCUAACUCCGUGCCAGCAGCCGCGGUAAUACGGAGGAUCCGAGCGUUAUCCGGAUUUAUUGGGUUUAAAGGGAGCGUAGGUGGAUUGUUAAGUCAGUUGUGAAAGUUUGCGGCUCAACCGUAAAAUUGCAGUUGAAACUGGCAGCCUUGAGUACAGUAGAGGUGGGCGGAAUUCGUGGUGUAGCGGUGAAAUGCUUAGAUAUCACGAAGAACUCCGAUUGCGAAGGCAGCUCACUGGACUGCAACUGACACUGAUGCUCGAAAGUGUGGGUAUCAAACAGGAUUAGAUACCCUGGUAGUCCACACAGUAAACGAUGAAUACUCGCUGUUUGCGAUAUACAGUAA
rnacentral:rRNA from 1 species